rnacentral:misc_RNA from 1 species
UCAACCUUGAAUCUUCAAGACGUGCAAGGGCUUGUCACCUGGGUGCUUGCUGAUGGGUUCAUGCCAUCGUGGGCUUUUAUCAAAAAUAAGCCUUUGAUCCCUAAAGUGGUAAUGCUCUAUGUCCCUGGCCUUGAUGCAUCUCUAUAUCUAUCACAGUCUAAAGUGCUCAAAGGUUUCAAAGAAUGCUGUGGUGUUCCAAAGCCAGUUUUAG